rnacentral:misc_RNA from 1 species
UGUCAACAAAUUCAUCGCGGAAAGAUCUUAUAGUGCAUUGGAACCUUCCGAUGCUUAUCCAUUUGAUAUCCACAAUUUAGUCCUGCUUAAUCUAUAAGUUGAAGCCUCCAAGUGAAGGAAAUUUACUUGAAGAAUUGCUGGAAAGUACUCUGUUUCUGUUGUCAUCGUUAUCCCAGGAUUUCUCACCGGUUCAUGUUUUAAGUGUUUUA